GCUGAUCCUGCUGGAGGAUACUGCUAUCGGAAUCCUAUUAAGCCAUGCAAGUCUUGGAGCCGCGCAAGCGGUUCCGGCAAACGGCUCAGUAACACGUGGACAACCUGCCCUUUGGAGGAGCCAAACCCGGGAAACUGGGCAUAAUGCUCCAUAGGCAAUGGACUCUGGAAGGAACCAUUGUCAAAAAGAUACAGCCUAUUGCGGCUGUUUUCGCCGAAGGAUGGGUCUGCGGUGGAUUAGGUAGUUGGCGGGGUAAUUGCCCACCAAGCCGAAGAUCCAUACGGGCCCUGGAAGGGGUAGCCCGGAGAAGGACACUGAGAUAAGGGUCCUAGCCCUACGGGGUGCAGCAGGCGAGAAACCUUUACAAUGCGCGCAAGCGUGAUAAGGGGAUUUCGAGUGCCAGCAAUGCUGGCUUUUCUCAAGCCCAAACAGCUUGGGGAAUAAGUGGAGGGUAAGAUACGUGCCAGCCGCCGCGGUAAUACGUACUCCACUAGUGGUAUCCGCUCAUAUUGGGCCUAAAGCGUGUGUAGCCGGCUGAACAAGUCCUUGGUGAAAUCCUAUUGCUUAACAAAAGGAAUUGCCUGGGAUACUAUUCGGCUCGAGACCAGGAGAGGUAAAGGGUAUUCCAGGAGUAGGAGUGAAAUCCAGUGAUCCUUGGAGGACCACCAGUAGCGAAGGCGCUUUACCAGAAUGGCUCUGACGGUGAGACACGAAAGCUAGGGGAGCGACCCGGAUUAGAUACCCGGUUAGUCCUAGCCGUAAACGAUGCGGACUAAGUGUCCUAGUUCACUUUUGUGAAUGGGGGUGCUGAAGCGAAGGCAAUAAGUCUGCCGCCUGGGAAGUACGACCGCAAGGUUGAAACUUAAUGGAAUUGGCGGGGGCGCACUACAAGGGGUGGAUGCUGCGGUUUAAUCGAACUCAACGCCAAAAAUCUCACCAAGGCCGACAGCAGAAUGAUGGACAGUCCAAAGGGCUUUCCUGACGCGCUGAGAGGUGUUGUAUGGUCAUCGUCAGCUCGUACUAUAAAGCGUCCUGUCAACUCAGGUAACGGGCGAGACCCACGCCAUUAGUUGCAAUCUUUUCCGAAAGGGGGAGAGCACUCUAGUGGGACUGCAGUAGCAAUACUGAGGAAGGAGUGGGCUACGGUAGAUCUGUAUGGCCCGAAUGCCUUGGGCUACACGCGGCAUACAAUGGAUAAGACAAUGAGUUCCUAACCCGAAAGGGCAAGGUAAUCCCCUAACCUUAUCCGUAGUUCGGACUGAGGGUUGUAACCCACCCUCAUGAAGAUGGAAUCCCCAGUAAUCGCGCGUCACUAUCGCGCGGUGAAUAAGUCCCUGCGCCUUGCACACACCGCCCAUCAAGCCAGCCGAGUGGGGCUUUGAUGAAACCCAGUUCUCAAAGGACUGUGUUAAUUCUGAGUUCCGCGAGGGGGGCUAAGUUGUAACAAGGUG
rnacentral:rRNA from 1 species